UACGGAGGGUCCGAGCGUUAUCCGGAAUCAUUGGGUUUAAAGGGUCCGUAGGCGGAUAGCUAAGUCAGGGGUGAAAGUCUGCAGCUCAACUGUAGAAUUGCCUUUGAUACUGGUUAUCUUGAAUUAUUGUGAAGUGGUUAGAAUAUGUAGUGUAGCGGUGAAAUGCAUAGAUAUUACAUAGAAUACCAAUUGCGAAGGCAGAUCACUAACAAUAUAUUGACACUGAUGGACGAAAGCGUGGGGAGCGAACAGG
rnacentral:misc_RNA from 1 species